ACGCAUGUCUAGAGUUUGAAAGAUGGUUCUGCUAUCACUCUUGGAUGGACCUGCGGUGCGUUAGCUAGUUGGUAAGGUAACGGCUUACCAAGGCAAUGAUGCAUAGCCGAGUUGAGAGACUGAUCGGCCACAUUGGGACUGAGACACGGCCCAAACUCCUACGGGAGGCAGCAGUAGGGAAUCUUCCACAAUGGACGAAAGUCUGAUGGAGCAACGCCGCGUGAGUGAAGAAGGGUUUCGGCUCGUAAAGCUCUGUUGGUAGUGAAGAAAGAUAGAGGUAGUAACUGGCCUUUAUUUGACGGUAAUUACUUAGAAAGUCACGGCUAACUACGUGCCAGCAGCCGCGGUAAUACGUAGGUGGCAAGCGUUGUCCGGAUUUAUUGGGCGUAAAGCGAGUGCAGGCGGUUCAAUAAGUCUGAUGUGAAAGCCUUCGGCUCAACCGGAGAAUUGCAUCAGAAACUGUUGAACUUGAGUGCAGAAGAGGAGAGUGGAACUCCAUGUGUAGCGGUGGAAUGCGUAGAUAUAUGGAAGAACACCAGUGGCGAAGGCGGCUCUCUGGUCUGCAACUGACGCUGAGGCUCGAAAGCAUGGGUAGCGAACAGGAUUAGAUACCCUGGUAGUCCAUGCCGUAAACGAUGAGUGCUAAGUGUUGGGAGGUUUCCGCCUCUCAGUGCUGCAGCUAACGC
rnacentral:rRNA from 1 species